rnacentral:lncRNA from 1 species
GCCCAAGUGUGUUCUGGAUUGGAGAGUUUACACCAGAACUUUCAAAACGGAUUUUCUUUUCUUUUCCUGGCUCUGUAUAGUUGUGGGGAGAGGACACCAAGACAUUAUGGAUUUUGGAUAUUGAAAGGGCAAUCUACCAUUGAAUGUGUGGCUUUGGAGAGCAAGCUCUGAGAGUCUGACUUUUACAGAUGAAUCAAAGGCUCUGUUGUCUUCUGGCCUCCAGUUAAGUUCACCCAAUAAGAAGAAAUGAAAAGAGAUCAGAGACUGAAACUAUAUUCCUAUAUUAGAAAUAGAUGACACCAUUUUCCAGUCUGAAAUUAUAAGCCAGUAUACUGCCAGACAUUUCUCAAUGGAUAAACUGAAAGCUGAACUUGUGAUGGAGAAGAGUUGCAUGAGGCUGGAGGGACAAGACGCAUCCUUGUGCAAAAUGAAGAAAUGGUAAAAUUGCAAAGGUUUACAUUGAUGUUCACAACACUUAAUUCUUUCGACUCUAAAUCAGAGUCAUAAAUUUCUUAUUACUUGAAGAGUUUGAGAACGUUCGAUAUGCCUUUUUCCCCCCUCCCCGUGUAUAGUUUGGUCUUGACAUUAGCUGAAAAAUAAACCAAAAUAAGCUAAGGGAAAAC